rnacentral:rRNA from 1 species
GACGAACGCUGGCGGCGUGCCUAAUACAUGCAAGUAGAACGCACAGUUUAUACCGUAGCUUGCUACACCAUAGACUGUGAGUUGCGAACGGGUGAGUAACGCGUAGGUAACCUGCCUGGUAGCGGGGGUUAACUAUUGGAAACGGUAGCUAAUACCGCAUAAUAUUGAUUAUUGCAUGAUAAUUGAUUGAAAGAUGCUAUUGCAUCACUACCAGAUGGACCUGCGUUGUAUUAGCUAGUAGGUGAGGUAACGGCUCACCUAGGCGACGAUACAUAGCCGACCUGAGAGGGUGAUCGGCCACACUGGGACUGAGACACGGCCCAGACUCCUACGGGAGGCAGCAGUAGGGAAUCUUCGGCAAUGGACGAAAGUCUGACCGAGCAACGCCGCGUGAGUGAAGAAGGUUUUCGGAUCGUAAAGCUCUGUUGUAAGAGAAGAACGGGUGUGAGAGUGGAAAGUUCACACUGUGACGGUAUCUUACCAGAAAGGGACGGCUAACUACGUG